AGUUAUUUAGCUAUUUAAGCAAUCUAUUUUGAAAGUAGAAUAUAAGAUUUAUCUUAAUAACUU
rnacentral:tRNA from 1 species